rnacentral:rRNA from 1 species
GACGAACGCUGGCGGCGUGCUUAACACAUGCAAGUCGAACGAUGAAGCACCAGCUUGCUGGUGUGGAUUAGUGGCGAACGGGUGAGUAACACGUGAGUAACCUGCCCCUCACUCUGGGAUAAGCCUGGGAAACUGGGUCUAAUACUGGAUACGACCGAUCUCCGCAUGGAGUGUUGGUGGAAAGUUUUUGUGGUGGGGGAUGGACUCGCGGCCUAUCAGCUUGUUGGUGGGGUAAUGGCCUACCAAGGCGACGACGGGUAGCCGGCCUGAGAGGGCGACCGGCCACACUGGGACUGAGACACGGCCCAGACUCCUACAGGAGGCAGCAGUGGGGAAUAUUGCACAAUGGGCGAAAGCCUGAUGCAGCGACGCCGCGUGAGGGAUGACGGCCUUCGGGUUGUAAACCUCUUUCACCAGGGACGAAGCUAACGUGACGGUACCUGGAGAAGAAGCACCGGCUAACUACGUG